rnacentral:rRNA from 1 species
UGACCGCUGGCGGCGUGCCUAAUACAUGCAAGUCGAGCGAACGGACGAGAAGCUUGCUUCUCUGAUGUUAGCGGCGGACGGGUGAGUAACACGUGGAUAACCUACCUAUAAGACUGGGAUAACUUCGGGAAACCGGAGCUAAUACCGGAUAAUAUUUUGAACCGCAUGGUUCAAAAGUGAAAGACGGUCUUGCUGUCACUUAUAGAUGGAUCCGCGCUGCAUUAGCUAGUUGGUAAGGUAACGGCUUACCAAGGCAACGAUGCAUAGCCGACCUGAGAGGGUGAUCGGCCACACUGGAACUGAGACACGGUCCAGACUCCUACGGGAGGCAGCAGUAGGGAAUCUUCCGCAAUGGGCGAAAGCCUGACGGAGCAACGCCGCGUGAGUGAUGAAGGUCUUCGGAUCGUAAAACUCUGUUAUUAGGGAAGAACAUAUGUGUAAGUAACUGUGCACAUCUUGACGGUACCUAAUCAGAAAGCCACGGCUAACUACGUG